UCAACUUGAAACAUUGUACCCUAUACAGAGAUAUUAUUAACACAGUGUACUGUCACAUGUCUGCAUUGGCUUAUAAAUGUACACUUCUAUACUAUUCAUAUAUUCAUGUCAAUUGCUUAGUUCCAAAUUUGUAAUUAUGUGAUCGUCCAUGAUAAUGUGCUAAAUUAUUCAUCACAUAACUUUUAUACAUUCUUUACAUAUUACAUACACUACUCGAGUUUUAUGAUACGCUGUCAUCUAUUCACUGUAUUACCUGUGUAUAUGUCAGUAACAUACAUGCGUUCACCUUUGUAACUACUGCACAAUAUAGUUUCC
rnacentral:lncRNA from 1 species